rnacentral:rRNA from 1 species
CGGGGAAUAUUGCACAAUGGGCGAAAGCCUGAUGCAGCAACGCCGCGUGAGCGAUGAAGGCCUUUGGGUCGUAAAGCUCUGUCCUAGGGGAAGAAUAAAUGACGGUACCCUUGGAGGAAGCCCCGGCUAACUACGUGCCAGCAGCCGCGGUAAUACGUAGGGGGCAAGCGUUAUCCGGAAUUAUUGGGCGUAAAGAGUGCGUAGGUGGUUUUGUAAGCGCGGGGUGAAAGGCAAUAGCUCAACUAUUGUAAGCCCUGCGAACUGUGAGACUUGAGUGCAGGAGAGGAAAGCGGAAUUCCUAGUGUGGCGGUGAAAUGCGUAGAUAUUAGGAGGAACACCAGUGGCGAAGGCGGCUUUCUGGACUGUAACUGACACUGAGGCACGAAAGCGUGGGGAGCAAACA